AUUGAACGCUGGCGGCAUGCCUUACACAUGCAAGUCGAACGGCAGCACGGGUGCUUGCACCUGGUGGCGAGUGGCGAACGGGUGAGUAAUAUAUCGGAACGUACCUUAUUGUGGGGGAUAACGCAGCGAAAGCUGUGCUAAUACCGCAUAAUCCCUAAGGGGGAAAGCGGGGACCGUAAGGCCUCGCGCAAUUAGAGCGGCCGAUACCUGAUUAGCUAGUUGGUGAGGUAAAGGCUCACCAAGGCAACGAUCAGUAGCUGGUCUGAGAGGACGAUCAGCCACACUGGGACUGAGACACGGCCCAGAAUCCUACGGGAGGCAGCAGUGGGGAAUUUUGGACAAUGGGGGCAACCCUGAUCCAGCAAUGCCGCGUGAGGGAAGAAGGCCUUCGGGUUGUAAAGCUCUUUUGUCAGGGAAGAAACAGCAGCUCUAACACAGUAUGCGAAUGACGGUACCUGAAGAAUAAGCACCGGCUAACUACGUGCCAGCCGCCGCGGUAA
rnacentral:rRNA from 1 species